rnacentral:lncRNA from 1 species
AUUGGAAGCUAAUUACUUUACAAUAUUGUAGUGGUUUUUGCCAUACAUUGACAUGAAUCAGCCAUGGGUGUACAUGUGUUCCCCAUCCUGAACUCCCCUCCCACGUCCCUCCCCAUCCCAUCCCUCUGGGUCAUCCCAGUGCACCGGCCCUGAGCACCCUGUCUCAUGCAUCAAACCUGGACUGGCGAUCUGUUUAACAUAUGAUAAAAUACGUGUUUCAUUACUAUUCUCUCAGAUCAUCCCACUCUCGCCUUCUCCCACAGAGUCCAAAAGACUGUUCUAUACAUCUGUGUCUUUUUUGCUGUCUCGCAUAUAGGGUUAUCAUUAUCAUAAAAAAAUAAAAAGUUUAAAGUUUGGAGUAAUCGGGAGUGAUGGAAGAAGGAGGAGGCAGCAGUGAAUCACUUAUAAAUAACUUUGAAGCAGGACCCGGAGCCUAAAUUCCAGGAGGAUAAUGGUCAUCCACAGCCAAGAAGGAAAGACCUGAGACAUGGAAUCAGCGAUUGCAGCCCUUCAAUGUGAGUCAGCAGGCCCCAAGAAAGGAGAAUGCCUGCCACCUGGCCUUUAUUUGUCUGCAGCCACUCCAGCCGCUCCCUGUGACCACAGGGCCUCCCCUGAUGAAGGGGUAACGGGCAAAUGACAGCGACAGAGUGAAGCUUCAGCAGUAAGAGAUCACACUGAAGCAACCCUUUUCCCCCGGGACAAUUCACCUUGCAACAGGAAGCAGCCAGAAAUCGGACCUAAUACGAUAAGAGGGGAGAGGGCAGGGAGGAAGGGGGUAGGAAUACUGAGAGAUGCCAAUUUAUUUGGAUAAAUUGUGUUAAAGGCCACUUAACUUUCAUCCAGCGUGCCAAGGAUGCACUAUUUAUUCAUGAACGUUUUGGUCUGUUUUUCUACUCCAGUCUUGAAGUGAAGAAAUGUGAGCCCUGCUUGGCAGAGUGCCCUGCGUACACAGCACCGUCCCUGUAACCUCACCCUAGUUUCCGGGGAAUUUGAGGCUGGAGGUGAAGCAAUCCAGAGCAGUUUUCUUGUAUUACAUGCACCUUCCCAGAGUCUUCCAAAUAAAUGGAUGGUUAGUUUGAGCAAUAAUAACUUGUGUGUGU